rnacentral:rRNA from 1 species
UACGGAGGGAGCUAGCGUUGUUCGGAAUUACUGGGCGUAAAGCGCGCGUAGGCGGCUUUGUAAGUUAGAGGUGAAAGCCUGGAGCUCAACUUCAGAAUUGCCUUUAAGACUGCAUCGCUUGAAUCCGGGAGAGGUGAGUGGAAUUCCGAGUGUAGAGGUGAAAUUCGUAGAUAUUCGGAAGAACACCAGUGGCGAAGGCGACUUACUGGACACAUAUUGACGCUGAGGUGCGAAAGCGUGGGGAGCAAACAGG